rnacentral:rRNA from 1 species
CCUACGGGGGGCAGCAGUGAGGAAUAUUGGUCAAUGGCCGUAAGGCUGAACCAGCCAAGUCGCGUGAAGGAAGACGGAUCUAUGGUUUGUAAACUUCUUUUAUAGGGGAAUAAAGGUAUCCACGUGUGGCUAUUUGCAUGUACCCUAUGAAUAAGCAUCGGCUAACUCCGUGCCAGCAGCCGCGGUAAUACGGAGGAUGCGAGCGUUAUCCGGAUUUAUUGGGUUUAAAGGGUGCGUAGGUUGGUUUUUAAGUCAGUGGUGAAAGUUUGUGGCUCAACCAUAAAAUUGCCGUUGAAACUGGAAGACUUGAGUGUGUUUGAGGUAGGCGGAAUGCGUGGUGUAGCGGUGAAAUGCAGAGAUAUCACGCAGAACUCCGAUUGCGAAGGCAGCUUACUAAGCCAUAACUGACACUGAAGCACGAAAGCGUGGGGAUCAAACAGGAUUAGAUACCCCUGUAGUC